CUUACAUUGAUCUCCUAGGCAGCCAUACCAAGAAUCAGAAACUCGGUGGCACAAAACAACAAAAUCACAAUGUCUCACAAUUCUGGAAGACAAAUGCCCAAAACUGAGGUGUCAACAGUGUCAGCAGGACCAGGCCUGUGACAAAGCAAUACAUCAUGGUGAGAAUGUAAAAAAUACAGUAAAACAAGUCACCUCUUGGCCAGGAAGCAAAAAAGAGAAAGAGGAAGAAACUAGGAUCUUACAAUCUCCUUCAAGUUAUAACCCCAGUGACCUGAAGAUGUCCUAUUAGGCCUCACUUUAUGAUGCAUCCACCAUCUUCCAACUAUGUUACUCCAGGAAGGAAGAUUUUACCACACAGAUUUUGAGAGGCAUUUAAAAUUCAAACUAUAGCAACAUCCUAUGUUAUAAGGCACAAAACAAUUUAAUAAAUGGUGACUACUCUAUUAUCA